CAUGGAGGGUGAGAAUCCCGUCCGGUUGACCUUAGGAUGCUCUACGUUGCGCUCUCUAAGAGUCGAGUUGUUUGGGAUUGCAGCUCAAAAUGGGAGGUAAAUUUCUCCUAAGGCUAAAUACAGGCGAGAGACCGAUAGCGAACAAGUACCGUGAGGGAAAGAUGAAAAGAACUUUGAAAAGAGAGUUAAACAGUACGUGAAAUUGUUGAAAGGGAAACGAUUGAAGCCAGUCGUACUGAUGGGAAAUCAACUUCUCGAGUGCUUGUCGUGGAUGACGUUGAGCUUCACGGCCUUCGUUGCUUACGUUAUGGUGCUUUUGAGGUGUACUUUUCCGUAUGGUAGGUCAACAUCGAUUUUGAUCGUCAUAAAAUGAUCGGAGGAAUGUGGCUCUGAUCUCGUAUCGGAGUGUUAUAGCCUUUGGUAGAUGUGACGAUUGGGAUCGAGGAUUGCAACGAAUACCCUUUUGGGCUAUCCGUCUGACCUCUGAAAGUCGCUCGGGUGUUGAAAGCGUGCUUAUGACAUUCUAGUUGGCGGUCAAAAGGUUAAAACGUGAUUACAUUCGUUAAGGAUGUUGACGUAAUGG
rnacentral:rRNA from 1 species